GAAGGCAUUUUUGCCAUUUUCGAAAACGAAAGAAAAAACAAAAAGCCGUUUGACUUACGUAUGUAUGUGGUGAUAUGUAUUUGAUUGUUUGCUACAUAAAUAUGUAUGUAAGCGGGUACAUAGCUGUAUACAUAUGCAAGUUGUAAAUUUGGUAACUAUAGAUGUGAUUCUUGAAAUUUGUUCCUAGACUUGGUAUAGUAGUAAUAAGGUUCCUGUAGACAAACAAUAAAUUAAUAAAUAAUAUGCAUAUAUACUUUUUUAAAUUUUUUAAAUAAUAAAAAGUUUGUGUGUCGAUAAUUUGCGGCAUGCAGAAAAUAAUAGCAAUUUCAAUAGUUCCUUUCACAGUGCAAUGCAGGGCGUUUAUUUGUGUUUCAAUAAAUUAAAAAUAUGAUAUGCGAGUGCACAAGAUAUGUUUUAGACAUUCAUACAUACAGUUUUAAAUGAGAACUUAAAAUCACACAACAUCAAUUAAAAAAGGGGAUUUAUUUCGGAAAUAAAAAAGCAUACAAAAAAGCAGAUAAAAAACAACUUAUUUGAGAAAUGUUAAUUAAAAUAUAAUUAUUACAAUUUAUUCUUAAUCCCAAACACUACAAUAUUUCUAUUACUGCCCUUUAAUAUGGAAGGUAUGACACAUGAUUCUUCGAAUUUAAUUAAUAUGGGUAUGUACUUGCAGAUGAAUUAAAAACUUAUUUACUAUGUGUUAUGUAUACAUAUAUAUGUGUAUGAAUAUUGUGGCAGCCAUAAAAAAUGCAUAGUAUAACACUUCAAGAGAAUAAAGUAUGGAACGGAAAUCAAAUUGAAAAUGGCGCAAAGUCGAUACUGGUUGUCUCCAAAACCGAAUUCGACGAAAAUUCGUACCAAAAUAUUUACUGCAUUGAUUCGAAAAUAUUUUCAAAUGAGUAGUCUAUGUACUUACACUUAUUAACUAACUUCUCUUUUUGGUGUUUCAGAAACAAAAGGACUUUUCGGGGCAAAACAUGGUUCACACGGCCAUCUAUUGCCAACUACCCGCAUCGUACGGCAGGAAGACUUGUAGCGUUAUUUUUCAAAGAAAAUGCGCCUGAUCCUAGUUUUACGCGGGCUUUUUUCAGCAUCUCCCAAUUAUUGUUUUAAUCCGAUUCUGAAUUUUUACGGGGUUUUCUUGUUAUGCUUUUUUUCGUUAAUUUGGAAAAGUAUGUGCAUCAAAAUUGCUAACCGGGGAUACAAGAAACAUGCUAACAAAAAACUUCAGCGAUAUGUGAAAACCCUUUUUAUAUAUUUUCGUAAAAUUUGUGAAAAAGUUACGAAGAUGGGCAUGACAUUUUCUUGAAAUACGCUUAUACAAUUUGUUUGCUUCGAGCGGGUUUUGCUGUUUUUUUUUUUGUUUUGUCUGAACCAGGCACCAAACAACGCGU